rnacentral:tRNA from 1 species
GCCGUUGUAGCUCAGUUGGUAGAGCAGCACAUUCGUAAUGUGAAGGUCCCCAGUUCGAUUCCGGGCAACGGCACCA